UUAAGGCGGCCAGAGCGANAGGGCGACACCCGUACCCAUCCCGAACACGGAAGUUAAGCCUNUCUGCGUUUCGGUCAGUACUGGAGUGCGCGAGCCUCUGGGAAAUCCGAUUCGCCGCCUCCC
rnacentral:rRNA from 1 species